AGCAAAGAUUAAUCCUUGUACCUCUCGCAUCAUGAUCUAGCAAGAACAACCAAGCAAAGCGAACUUAAGCUUGCCCCCCCGAAACCCAAGCGAGCUACUUACAAGCAACUGCCCCGAGUGAACCCGUCUCUGUCGCAAAAGAGUGGGAUGACUUGUCAGUAGUGGUGAAAAGCCAACCGAGCUGGGUGAUAGCUGGUUGCCUGUAAAACGAAUCUAAGUUCCCCCUUAAUUUUCCUCUACGGACACCCACCCAGCCCCCUCGAAGCAAAUUAAGAGAAAUUUAAAGGAGGUACAGCUCCUUUAAAAAAGGAUACAACCUUCGCCAGCGGAUAACCCCCUCCACCCAUCAUGACCGUGGGCCUUAAAGCAGCCACCACCAAAGAGUGCGUCAAAGCUCCACCAACCAAAAAAUCCAAGAACAACACGAAUCCCUCCCCCCCAACAGGCUAAUCUAUGACAAUAGAAGAAUUAAUGCUAAAAUAAGUAACCAGGGAUCAACCCCCCUCUCAGGCGCAAGCUUACAUCCCCACAUUAUUAACAGACUCAACAAUACCUCCAACCCCCUCACAAGCUCACAUAUUAACUUAACCCUGUUAACCCAACCCAGGAGCGCCUACCAAGAAAGAUUAAAAUCUGUGAAAGGAACUAGGCAAACCCAAGGCCCGACUGUUUACCAAAAACAUAGCCCCCAGCAAACCAAGUAUUGGGGGUGAUGCCUGCCCAGUGACCCACGUUUAACGGCCGCGGUAUCCUAACCGUGCAAAGGUAGCGCAAUCAAUUGUCCCAUAAAUCGAGACCUGUAUGAAUGGCUAAACGAGGUCUUAACUGUCUCUCACAGAUAAUCAGUGAAAUUG
rnacentral:ncRNA from 1 species